GACGUAGGGUGCAAGCGUUGUCCGGAUUUAUUGGGCGUAAAGCGCUCGUAGGCGGCUCGUUGCGUCAGUUGUGAAAACCCGCAGCUUAACUGUGGGCUUGCAGCUGAUACGGGCGAGCUGGAGUUCGGUAGGGGAGACUGGAAUUCCUGGUGGAGCGGUGAAAUGCGCAGAUAUCGGGAGGAACACCAGUGGCGAAGGCGGUUGCCUGGAGCUUUGCUGACGCUGAUGCGCGAAAGCGUGGGGAGCAAACAGG
rnacentral:rRNA from 1 species